rnacentral:lncRNA from 10 species
CCAAAGUGCUGGGAUUAUGGGCGUGAGCCACCACGCCUGGCAAAUUACCAGAUUUUAAAAAUUCAAUAAUAGCUUUACAUAAGUAAUGCUAUUAAAUAAGAGUGCUAAUUAAUAAUAACAAUGAUGUUGGCCGGGUGCAGUGGCUCACGCCUGUAAUCCCAGCACUUUGGGAGGCCGAGGCGGGUGGAUCAUGAGUUCAGGAGUUCCAGACCAGCCUG